CAACUUUUAUCAAUGGAUCUCUUGGUUCUCGCAUCGAUGAAGAACGUAGCAAAGUGCGAUAAAGUGUGAAUUGCAUAUUCAGUGAAUCAUCGAGUCUUUGCGCAGCUUGCACUCUAUGGUUUUUCUAUAGAGUACGCCUGCUUCAGUAUCAUCA
rnacentral:rRNA from 1 species